rnacentral:rRNA from 1 species
UACGGGGGGGGCAAGCGUUGUUCGGAAUUACUGGGCGUAAAGGGCUCGUAGGCGGCCAACUAAGUCAGACGUGAAACCCCUCGGCUUAACCGGGGAACUGCAUCUGAUACUGGAUGGCUUGAGUUCGGGAGAGGGAUGCGGAAUUCCAGGUGUAGCGGUGAAAUGCGUAGAUAUCUGGAGGAACACCGGUGGCGAAGGCGGCAUCCUGGACCGACACUGACGCUGAGGAGCGAAAGCCAGGGGAGCAAACGGG